CCAAACCCAGCCUAGAAAUUAUGGCUAGAUUGAGAAGGCUACAUUAGCCACCGAAAUGGCUAAACUAACUUACAUUACUUUUGAAGACUUUAAAUAAACUCAUUUUACAGAAAACCAUAGUUGUACUUUGAGUUAGCUUAAAAGCCUUCAUUCAUUAGGUUGUGUAUGCUUAGGAUUCAUUUUAUUGUUGACAGUGUUGUU
rnacentral:lncRNA from 1 species